AUGGAGUUUUUUGCUCUUGUUGUCCAGGCUGGAGUGCAAUGGCAUGAUCUUGGCUCACUACAACCUCCGCCUCCCAGGUUCAAGUGAUUCUCCUGCCUCAGCCUCCCGAGUAGCUGGGACUACAGAGGCAUCCUAGGGCAUCCAGAGGCCUUCAGGGUGGCCUGAAGUCUCCCACCGCACCACCUUUGGGUUAACCUAGCCUGUCCCACAGAAGAUGAUGAAGUUGGUUCUGGAGGCAAGCUGACUCAGAUGGAUUCUCGAUUUUAUGAUGCCGGACUGGAAACCGGUCUUGGGAGAAACUUCCCUGGGGCCUUGGGCUAAGAAGCACGCACUCCAUGGAGUUCUGCAGGCCAAGGUGCAGACAUGAG